rnacentral:rRNA from 1 species
CGGGGGACGAAAGUGGCGCACGGGUGAGUAACGCGUAGAUAACCUGUCCUAAUGACCGGAACAGCCCUCCGAAAGGGGGAUUAAUACCGGAUACGCCGCAUUGCCGAAGGGUGAUGUGGGAAAGAUGGCCUCUAUUUAUAAGCUGUCACAUUUGGAGGGGUCUGCGUACCAUUAGCUUGUUGGCGGGGUAAUAGCCCACCAAGGCGACGAUGGUUAGCGGGUCUGAGAGGAUGACCCGCCACACUGGCACUGAAACACGGACCAGACUCCUACGGGAGGCAGCAGUGAGGAAUAUUGCGCAAUGGGGGAAACCCUGACGCAGCAACGCCGCGUGGGUGAUGAAGGCCUUCGGGUCGUAAAGCCCUGUCGGAAGGAAAGAAAUGCGUGCGGAUUAAUACUUCGUGCGUUUGACGGUACCUUCAAAGGAAGCACCGGCUAACUCUGUGCCAGCAGCCGCGGUAAUACAGAGGGUGCAAGCGUUGUUCGGAAUUACUGGGCGUAAAGGGCGUGCAGGCGGCCUGAUAAGUCAGAUGUGAAAGUCCUCGGCUCAACCGGGGAAGUGCAUUUGAAACUGUCAGGCUUGAGUACCAGAGGGGAAAGUGGAAUUCCCGGUGUAGAGGUGAAAUUCGUAGAUAUCGGGAGGAAUACCGGUGGCGAAGGCGACUUUCUGGCUGGAUACUGUCGCUGAGACGCGAAAGCGCGGGGAGCAAACAGGAUUAGAUACCCUGGUAGUCCGCGCCGUAAACGAUGUGAACUGGAUGCAGGGGGUGUUGAUCCCCUCUGUGUCGUAGCUAACGCGCUAAGUUCACCGCCUGGGGAGUACGGUCGCAAGAUUAAAACUCAAAGGAAUUGACGGGGGCCCGCACAAGCGGUGGAGUAUGUGGUUUAAUUCGAUGCAACGCGAAGAACCUUACCUGGUCUUGACAUCCCGAGAAUUCCCUUGAAAGAGGGAAGUGCCUCGCAAGAGGAGCUUGGAGACAGGUGCUGCAUGGCUGUCGUCAGCUCGUGUCGUGAGAUGUUGGGUUAAGUCCCGCAACGAGCGCAACCCCCGCCAUCAGUUGCCAGCAUUCAGUUGGGCACUCUGAUGGGACCGCCGGCGUCAAGCCGGAGGAAGGUGGGGAUGACGUCAAGUCCUCAUGGCCUUUAUGACCAGGGCUACACACGUACUACAAUGGCCGGUACAGAGGGCUGCGACACUGCGAGGUGAAGCGAAUCCCUAAAAGCC